rnacentral:rRNA from 1 species
GGCGUUGAAGCAUGAUCGUAAGGACAUGUGGAGCGCUUAGAAGUGAGAAUGCCGGUGUGAGUAGCGAAAGACGGGUGAGAAUCCCGUCCACCGAUUGACUAAGGUUUCCAGAGGAAGGCUCGUCCGCCCUGGGUUAGUCGGGUCCUAAGCUGAGGCCGACAGGCGUAGGCGAUGGAUAACAGGUUGAUAUUCCUGUACCACCUAUAAUCGUUUUAAUCGAUGGGGGGACGCAGUAG